rnacentral:tRNA from 1 species
UCCCUGAGGACUAGUGGUUAGGCCUUGGCGCUCUCACUGCCGCGGCCCAGGUUCGAUUCCUGGCCAGGAAA